GAUAUUGGUCGCGCCUUGGACGAUGCUCUCUCGUGUCUCCGGUAAGACUACCGGAGUGCAGGAAGCCAGGAAGACGAAUUCGUUGCGGUUGCAAACAGGCACGAAUGGCAGGAAGUGACCCUCUACAAGGACUACCUGUGCUGCCUGCGAGAAUUUCUCGAUACGUUGAUUCGACAGAGAAACAGCCUCCUGUCACUCGGAAUCGGACUGUUUCUGGAUAAUUGAUUUUGUACAAUUAAAUGAUCUUGCUUGUCGAUUACAUCGUACACGCUGUCCCCGUGGAUGAAAUGCCCGAGAUAAUCCGCUGCAUUUUCUGAUAUAUACAACAAUUUUCCCUGCUGCGUCAUCAUCAUGAUAAAACCGGACAUUGCCUGAAAAAGAUGCACGGAUUGUGAUUCCACGGAUGGAUCUCGAAAGAUGUGACCGAGAUACCAGAGUAUUGAUUCCUCACAUGCUGUUCUUACGCUUCAUUGUGUCUCGAGCCUUAAUCGCUUGCAAUGGUCUCCCAACGGAGAGGAUCGCGAGAGAAGAGAGAGAAGGAAAAAAAAUACCCAUUUCAAUCUCGUGCUUUUUCGCGCGUUCGCCACCCUUCUCGCUCGGGGGUUUCUCGAAAAAGUAAAGGGGAAAGAGGAACACGCAGACCAAGGCCAUAAGCUGCAGCUGGGAAAGCCUCUGGCGUGUCGAGGGCGGCAACGGCAGCAAGUCACGUAGAUUCGCAAUUUCGGCGUUUAUCAGGUC